UGUCCAGUGGCACAAUGGUACUGCGCCUAACUGUUAAUUAGGAGAGUGUUGGUUCGAUUCCAACCUGGACAGUCA
rnacentral:tRNA from 1 species